rnacentral:rRNA from 11 species
UCUGGCAAAAUACCCUGAAAUCAACAGAUCCUGUCUAAUCUCAGAAGCAAAGCAAGGUCAGGCUUGAUUAGCAGGUGGAAAAAUUAGCAGGAGCCUCACAAAAUAGCAAGCUGUAAGCUGUUACCAGAA